rnacentral:rRNA from 1 species
UUAGAGUUUGAUCCUGGCUCAGGAUGAACGCUAGCGGCAGGCCUAACACAUGCAAGUCGAGGGGGCAUCACGAGGUAGCAAUACUUUGGUGGCGACCGGCGCACGGGUGCGUAACGCGUAUGUAACCUACCUAUAACAGGGGCAUAACACUGAGAAAUUGGUACUAAUUCCCCAUAAUAUUCGGAGAGGCAUCUCUCCGGGUUGAAAACUCCGGUGGUUAUAGAUGGACAUGCGUUGUAUUAGCUAGUUGGUGAGGUAACGGCUCACCAAGGCAACGAUACAUAGGGGGACUGAGAGGUUAACCCCCCACACUGGUACUGAGACACGGACCAGACUCCUACGGGAGGCAGCAGUGAGGAAUAUUGGUCAAUGGACGCAAGUCUGAACCAGCCAUGCCGCGUGCAGGAAGACGGCUCUAUGAGUUGUAAACUGCUUUUGUACGAGGGUAAACUCACCUACGUGUAGGUGACUGAAAGUAUCGUACGAAUAAGGAUCGGCUAACUCCGUGCCAGCAGCCGCGGUAAUACGGAGGAUCCGAGCGUUAUCCGGAUUUAUUGGGUUUAAAGGGAGCGUAGGCGGGUGCUUAAGUCAGUUGUGAAAGUUUGCGGCUCAACCGUAAAAUUGCAGUUGAUACUGGGCGCCUUGAGUGCAGCAUAGGUAGGCGGAAUUCGUGGUGUAGCGGUGAAAUGCUUAGAUAUCACGAAGAACUCCGAUUGCGAAGGCAGCUUACUAGACUGUAACUGACGCUGAUGCUCGAAAGUGUGGGUAUCAAACAGGAUUAGAUACCCUGGUAGUCCACACAGUAAACGAUGAAUACUCGCUGUUGGCGAUACACAGUCAGCGGCCAAGCGAAAGCAUUAAGUAUUCCACCUGGGGAGUACGCCGGCAACGGUGAAACUCAAAGGAAUUGACGGGGGCCCGCACAAGCGGAGGAACAUGUGGUUUAAUUCGAUGAUACGCGAGGAACCUUACCCGGGCUUAAAUUGCAGCGGAAUGUAGUGGAAACAUUACAGCCUUCGGGCCGCUGUGAAGGUGCUGCAUGGUUGUCGUCAGCUCGUGCCGUGAGGUGUCGGCUUAAGUGCCAUAACGAGCGCAACCCUUAUCUAUAGUUACUAUCAGGUCAUGCUGAGGACUCUAUGGAGACUGCCGUCGUAAGAUGUGAGGAAGGUGGGGAUGACGUCAAAUCAGCACGGCCCUUACGUCCGGGGCUACACACGUGUUACAAUGGGGGGUACAGAAGGCAGCUACCUGGCGACAGGAUGCUAAUCCCAAAAACCUCUCUCAGUUCGGAUUGGAGUCUGCAACCCGACUCCAUGAAGCUGGAUUCGCUAGUAAUCGCGCAUCAGCCACGGCGCGGUGAAUACGUUCCCGGGCCUUGUACACACCGCCCGUCA